rnacentral:rRNA from 1 species
UACGGGGGGAGCAAGCGUUGUUCGGAUUUACUGGGCGUAAAGGGCGCGUAGGCGGUCGUGACAAGUCACUUGUGAAAUCUCCGGGCUUAACUCGGAACGGUCAAGUGAUACUGUCGGACUAGAGUACAGAAGGGGCAACUGGAAUUCUCGGUGUAGCGGUGAAAUGCGUAGAUAUCGGGAGGAACACCAGAGGCGAAGGCGGCGCACUGGACGGCA